GCAGAGGUGGUUCAGUGGCAGAAUUCUUGCCUUCCAUGCAGGAGACUCAGGUUCAAUUCCCGGUCCGUACA
rnacentral:tRNA from 1 species